rnacentral:rRNA from 1 species
AGAGUUUGAUCAUGGCUCAGGACGAACGCUGGCGGCGUGCUUAACACAUGCGAGUCGAGCGGAAAGGCCCUUCGGGGUACUCGAGCGGCGAACGGGUGAGUAACACGUGAGGAACCUGCCCCUAGCUCUGGGAUAGCUUCGGGAAACCGGAAUUAAUACCAGAUACGACUACGACCGGCAUCGGUCAUAGUGGAAAGAUU